CGAGAGUUUUGAUCCUGGCUCAGGAUGAACGCUGGCGGCGUGCUUAACACAUGCAAGUCGAACGGGGAUGCUUAUGGAAGGAGUGCUUGCACUUUGGAAAUGAGUAUCUUAGUGGCGGACGGGUGAGUAACGCGUGGGUAACCUGCCCCAUACCGGGGGAUACCACCUGGAAACAGGUGCUAAUACCGCAUAAGCGCACGGGAGCGCAUGCUCCUGCGUGAAAAACUCCGGUGGUAUGGGAUGGACCCGCGUCUGAUUAGCCAGUUGGCAGGGUAACGGCCUACCAAAGCGACGAUCAGUAGCCGGCCUGAGAGGGUGGACGGCCACAUUGGGACUGAGACACGGCCCAAACUCCUACGGGAGGCAGCAGUGGGGAAUAUUGCACAAUGGGGGAAACCCUGAUGCAGCGACGCCGCGUGAGUGAAGAAGUAUUUCGGUAUGUAAAGCUCUAUCAGCAGGAACGAGACAAGACGGUACCUGACUAAGGAGCCCCGGCUAACUACGUG
rnacentral:rRNA from 1 species